CCGUGCCGGGGUUUGAACCCCGGACAUCUGACAUGCCAGGUGAGCAUGUUGCCACCAGUCCACCAACGCACG
rnacentral:tRNA from 11 species